CCUACGGGAGGCAGCAGUGGGGAAUAUUGCACAAUGGGGGAAACCCUGAUGCAGCGACGCCACGUGAGUGAUGAAGUAAUUAGUUAUGUAAAGCUCUAUCAGCAGGGAAGAAAAUGACGGUACCUGAGUAAGAAGCACCGGCUAACUACGUGCCAGCAGCCGCGGUAAUACGUAGGGGGCAAGCGUUAUCCGGAUUUAUUGGGGGUAAAGGGUGCGUAGACGGCAGUGCAAGUCUGGAGUGAAAGGCGGGGGCUCAACCCCCGGACUGCUCUGGAAACUAUGAGGCUGGAGUGCAGGAGAGGUAAGUGGAAUUCCUAGUGUAGGGGUGAAAUGCGUAGAUAUUAGGAGGAACACUAGUGGCGAAGGCGGCUUACUGGACCGUAACUGACGUUGAGGCUCGAAAGCGUGGGGAGCAAACAGGAUUAGAUACCCCAGUAGUC
rnacentral:rRNA from 1 species